UACGUAGGGCGCAAGCGUUAUCCGGAAUUAUUGGGCGUAAAGAGCUCGUAGGCGGUCUGUCGCGUCUGCUGUGAAAACUCAGGGCUUAACCCUGAGCUUGCAGUGGGUACGGGCAGACUGGAGUCCGGUAGAGGAGUGCGGAAUUCCUGGUGUAGCGGUGAAAUGCGCAGAUAUCAGGAGGAACACCAACGGCGAAGGCAGCACUCUGGGCCGGUACUGACGCUGAGGAGCGAAAGCGUGGGGAGCAAACAGG
rnacentral:rRNA from 1 species